GACCGGCGCCUGGACGACUUUCAGGGGAGAGCUGGAAGAAAGACUGUCAACAGCUGAGUGCGGGCGCCGGCGCCGUCUACGCAGUGCGUUCCACCGGGUCCGUAUCCCUCCCGAUUCCGCCCCACCCCGCCCUCGGAACUCGCUGCCUCAACUCCUGCGGUGGGACUCCGGAGCAGCGUACACCGCCCUUGCCUUAGUCCUCCCCAAGGCCAGGGCAGCUGUGCGGCCUGGCGCGGGUUACUUGGUGUGGUGCAAAAAGCCAGAAGGAGACACAUUUGGUCCUGGCCACCCCGGAGUCACCCAAACCAAAAGCAUUGAUGUGAGUGUAGAUGAAGUAAAAACUUUGGCUUCCCUGAUGACAUACAAGUGUGCAGUGGUUGGUAAGUGAUCGCCUUUCUUGCUACCUAAUGAGAACUCUGGGGAAAUAUGUUUACUCACAUGGUUACUGUUAAGAUGCUAUAGAAAUAUACCUUAUCAGAACUGAUUUUUUUUAAGUUGUCCUCUUUAAGACCUGCAUCAUUUUUCAAUUAGUCUAAAUUAAUAUAUAGCCUUUUUUUAUGUGAGGGAUUUUUUUUAUAGGAGCUUAUUGAAUUUUAAGUCUAGAUCUUUGUUUUCAAUUCCUCAACAUAUUCUAUAAAUAAGACCAAAUUAUAGUAGAAGGAUAGUAAAUAAGCUAUUAUCUUUUAGAAGUUGUAAAGAGCACUGAUUAACUCUAUAUUAGAGACCCCGCCCCUGCCUUGGCUGCGCGGGCCCCCGCCAAAGGGCCCAUGGUCGGCGCAGCCGAGCUGGCGAGGGCAGCGCGGGUCCCCCGGAACGCCCCCCGAGGCGAGCGCUAACGAGGUCCGGCACCAUGUGCUAGGUCACUCCCAGUGCAAGGCCACACUUGGGCCAUCCGA
ensembl:lncRNA GLUD1P3 glutamate dehydrogenase 1 pseudogene 3